CAGGGAAUCCCCACGAAUGGUGACCCAUCAGGGACAAGUGAGAUCUGGAAGCUGUUACCACCCACAGGCCUCCAAGGAGCCAUAGUGCUGGAGCCCGUGGGAGAGCUGGAGCCUGGAGGAGGGUCACCGCUCAAAGGCUUGUAGAAAUACAGCCGCUGCAUUUCCCAAACUGUGGCAAGACGUGGAGGGAGCAAAGAACUGAAUACCCGAGCAUCUCUCUCGCCCGCCCUCACAUCUCCUACUGGUGCCUUGCAUUGGCUGAACCAGAAAUGGGAGGGCAGGAUGCCAAGUGUAGCAGCCCAUGGAGGCCAGCCUCUGAGGAUAGCAUCCGCACCUUACAGAAAGUGGCCCCCCAGCUGGCACCAUGGAAAAGGGACUGCCCUACUGAAGCUUUGGCCAUGGAUGAAUACAACCUGGCAAGACCUCAGUGAGGUUUAUGUCAAACUGAGGACUCACCAGUGCUGUGGAUACGCUGGUAUGCUGUAUACCCUGUUCCCAAGAGGC